UGGCAAAGCUAGGCUAGGUCUUGGAGGCUGGUGUAAGGCGAUGCGGGUGAAGGCAGGAGGCUGAUGGAGAGACUGGGGGGAAGAAAAGCCGAAAUGGAUUCACGGUGCCUUGGAUGAAGGACGAGAGGGGAACUGCAAGCUCCUUCAACUGGUUCUGUCCGGUGAGAAGUGAUCAAGCUUGGGCUGACAAGAGGCUCAGGGAGCCCUCACGUUCUUUCGCUUUUUUACCUGCCAAUCAAACUGCUACAAGACAACACCCUGAUCUGGCAUGGACAU
ensembl:misc_RNA